UACGUAGGGGGCAAGCGUUAUCCGGAUUUAUUGGGUUUAAAGGGUGCGUAGGCGGCUUUUUAAGUCAGCGGUGAAAUUUUGCAGCUUAACUGUAACAGUGCCGUUGAUACUGGGGAGCUAGGAUUUGGUUGCUGUGGGUGGAAUGUGUGGUGUAGCGGUGAAAUGCUUAGAGAUCACACAGAAUAUCGAUUGCGAAGGCAGCUCACAAAGCCAAGAUUGACGCUGAGGCACGAAAGUGUGGGGAUCAAACAGGAUUAGAUA
rnacentral:rRNA from 1 species